AACCAGUAAAAUGACACAGAUAUAGACACGUGUACAACAAUACAGACAUGGAUAUAAACACGUGUAAAACAAGACAGACAGGGAUAUGGAUCUGAACAAAAGAGUAUUCGUUGGAGAUAGGAUCUCCAGAAGGUCCUAAGGGAAUCAUCACUGGGAAAACAGAUAUUGAUGGAUUGCGCGAAUGGAUGAUUAUGAAAUUUUCUGAUAUUUUGAAAGAUGGAGAGCUGUUUUAAGAAAAACUGACGAUAUUUGGAAGAUAGAGAGGUGCUUCUAGAAUCAUGUCAUAUUUGAAAGAAACUCUUGAAUGGGUGGUUCGUGACAAUACGACAGUAGAAAAAUGGUUUCCUCUCCCGACGUCGUUUCUGGAGCUCCUCCGUCGAGGGUCCAUCGCUAGCCAUCCCAGUAGUACUGU